rnacentral:rRNA from 1 species
UGGGGAAUAUUGCACAAUGGGGGAAACCCUGAUGCAGCGACGCCGCGUGAACGAAGAAGGUAUUCGUAUCGUAAAGUUCUGUCCUAUGGGAAGAUAAUGACAGUACCAUAGAAGAAAGCUCCGCCUAAAUACGUGCCAGCAGCCGCGGUAAUACGUAUGGAGCGAGCGUUGUCCGGAUUUAUUGGGCGUAAAGGGUACGCAGGCGGUUUAAUAAGUCGAAUGUUAAAGAUCGGGGCUCAACCCCGUAAAGCAUUGGAAACUGAUAAACUUGAGUAGUGGAGAGGAAAGUGGAAUUCCUAGUGUAGUGGUGAAAUACGUAGAUAUUAGGAGGAAUACCAGUAGCGAAGGCGACUUUCUGGACACAAACUGACGCUGAGGUACGAAAGCGUGGGGAGCAAACAGG